rnacentral:rRNA from 1 species
UACGUAGGGUGCGAGCGUUGUCCGGAAUUACUGGGCGUAAAGAGUUCGUAGGCGGUUUGUCGCGUCGUUCGUGAAAACUUGGGGCUUAACUCCAAGCGUGCGGGCGAUACGGGCAGACUUGAGUACUACAGGGGAGACUGGAAUUCCUGGUGUAGCGGUGAAAUGCGCAGAUAUCAGGAGGAACACCGGUGGCGAAGGCGGGUCUCUGGGUAGUAACUGACGCUCAGGAGCGAAAGCGUGGGGAGCGAUCCGG